GUGGAAGCAUAGCGAUAUGUGAAGCUGACCAAUACUAAUUGCUCGUGAGGCUUGACUAUACAACACCCAAACAGUUGGG
rnacentral:rRNA from 1 species